rnacentral:RNase_P_RNA from 1 species
AUAUUUAGACAAACGCGGUAUUCUUUAAGAAUAUUGAGGAAAGUCCAUGCUCACACAGACUGCGAUGUUUGUAAUGUUCGUGCAUAGGAAAAAAAUAACCUAUGGUAGAUUUUAAUCUAACGACAAAGGAAAAGUCUAAGUCUUUAGGAUAUGAUUUUUUCUUUUAAAGUGCCACAGUGACGAUUUCUUGAGAAAUUAAGAAGUGAAACGAGGUAAACUCCACGAGUGAGAAACCCAAAUUAUGGUAGGGGAGCUUUGACUAGGGAAUUGAACCGAUGUCAGGGACCGUUUUUGCGGUAGAUAAAUGUUUGUCGCCUUUUAAGGUACAGAACAUGGCUUAUUAAU